rnacentral:pre_miRNA from 1 species
CCGUGAGGAGGCCGAGGUCACCGGAUCCAGCGACCCUGGCCUCCUCGCCG